GAUGAAGAACGUAGUGAAAUGCGAUAAGUAAUGCGAAUUGCAGAAUUCAGUGAGUCAUCGAAUCUUUGAACGCACAUUGCGCCCUGUGGUAUUCCGCAGGGCAUGCCUGUUCGAGCGUCAUUUCAACCCUCAAGCCCCGCUUGGUGUUGGGCCCCGCCCGCUGUGGCCGGCCCUAAAGACAGUGGCGGCGCCGCCUGGCCCUCAGCGUAGUACAUCUCUCGCUCCAGGGUCCGGUGGCCGCCUGCCAGAACCCCCCAACUCUGUGGUUGACCUCGGAUCAGGUAGGGAUACCCGCUGAACUUAAGCAUAUCAAUAAGCGGAGGA
rnacentral:misc_RNA from 1 species